GACCAGAAUGGGGAGAAAGGACCAGAUGGCUGUGAAAUGCCACAGACAGUGUGUGACUGGGCUGAGCCACUGAAGACCUACCUGAUGAGGUUAACAGCUGACUGGGGGUGCCAGGAGCAGAGAGUGAGUGUGCAGGUUUGUACCUGACCGACAGGAGGUGCUCACAAGAGUGAGGAAGAAAUUGGAAAAGGACCAGACAAGCAGCUCCAACCAUGACUCAACAAGUGCUUCUAUGGCUGAGACUAUGAGAAGGAACCACUCAGAUCUCAUAUCUCUCAAAGUGCUGAUCAACCAGCUGUUUCCAGUGGACACAAAGCAGAAAUCAUAUUAAACUUAGCAGAACCAAGAAUUACAAGGGCC